UUCCAGCACCAAGCCCGAACGGAGGCACAUGAAUCCUUGCUGCCCUUCGUCGCCAGAACAACGCGCUUCCUCGCCAUGAAUGUUCCCGCUAUGACCUCCUCACAAAUUCUCAUAAAAUCACCCAAUAAAUCCGGGGAUUGAAUGAGUGAAAACGGCUCGAUGGAACUCAUCCGUCGCCGCCGCCUCCAUGUUAAAAACUAGGCCUUGCUGCCAUCCGCAUGAAGCACGAUAGCAUGCUCACGCCUCCACACAUGGCCGCUCCCCAUUCUAAUUCAUCUUUCCUUUUCUCAAUCCCUCAGCAUAUGUUUGUUAGUGUUUCAGGUUGUGCUCCACCCGGCUCGAGAGUUGAUCCACAUUUCCCCACGGCACCUGAUUUGAUUGGGUUUUGAUUGGAUUGUACAAGCUGCUCGAGAUCCACAAAAUUCGUUGAGGAAGCGGCCGCCUGCAUCUGAAAGUCGUUGAGGAACGCCACGGCUAGAAGAUCUACAAAAUUUGAUCUAUCCAAACCUCCAAAGUAAGAUUAGUUAUCUGCCUUCAUAAUAAAAUAUUGCUUCUCCUUCCCCGGCCUGCACCGGCCGUCGCCUUGCCGUUGGGGCUUGCGGCCAUGUUCCACCAGCAGAUCUUGACAAGUCAUAUCUCUACUUGCCCGUUGACAUUGAUGGAGUGGUUAAUAUUUAGCGGAUUUUGAUCUACAAUACUGAUUGCUCUUUCCCCUGUUUUGGUUUAUCGUUGGAGUGGUUAAUAUUUAGCGGAUUUUGAUCUAGAAUACUGAUUCGCUCUCUCCCCUGUUUUGGUUUAUCUAUAAUUUUAUCUGCAAAGAUUAGGAAUUUUCCAGAUUGAUUACGAGAAGUAUAUUUACUCCCUGUUGAGUUCUUGAGGUGGACUACAAAACUGCAUAGCGAUAUUCACUAAAGGACCCCCUGUAAGUAUAUUUCUCCCUGUGAUUAUGUUUUUUAGUUCUAUUGUGGAAACUGAGUUCUACACAUGGGCUCAUAUAUCAGUGCAAUUCCUCCUUCAGAGCUUAUUCUCCUCCAGUGCAGUGCAGCAGUUUGGUAUAUGGCAAACUUUUUCCUCUUAGUUCAUCUUGAAAACAGAGUACUUUCGAUAGGCUCAUACAUCAGUGCAAGUUCUCCGUCAGAGUUCAUUCUUCUCCAAUGUUGUGUAGCCCAGUAGGAGUUCAGGGUAUGAGUAUAUGACACACUUUCUUUUAGUAAAACAGAGAUUUCUUUUAGUGGGUUCAUAUGCCAGCUCAUUAUUCUCCUAUGUUCUAUAACAAUUUGGGGUAUGGCAACUGCUCUUGCCUUUCUAAAUUUUUAUGCCCAGGUUUGAUUUCUUCGAUGGUAUAUGAGACUUCAACUGUAGCUAACAAGGACUUGGUUGUGCAUGAUAAUGGACACUUUCAUACAGGUCAUCACAUAGAAGUGGGUUUUUUUCUUUUCAAUAACCAGAUAUCAUUAUAUCAGAGCAUAUCAGAGCAGUAUAUUCAGCUUUUGGUGUAUUUUGGAUUACUCAUCACAUAGAUGAGAGUUGUCAACUGAGAGCAUGCUCAUGUUCAUCGUGAGGAGCGAGGCAGCUAGACAGUUUUUCAUAUAUUUGAAGAACUACAUCUCUACAUAUUGCAGAUUUUGCAUCACUUUGGCUGUAGACUUUCACCACAUGUAUGCAACUGCUGAAGGACUCAGUUUCUACCAGCAGUCAGCUGUUACAACUUGACCCACCUUUUAGUUUUUUAAUGUCCUAACAAAAUACCAUUUCUGCACCAACAUUUUGCCUGUUCAUAAAGAAAUACUUUAUGUCCAUGGAGAAUGGAAACGACUUUGUAAUUUUCGAAUUUAACCAAUGAUGUGACUCAAGUACCUUCAAUUGAAUCAGUCUUAGUAUACAUGCAGGUAUGUAAGUUCAGUACAGAUGUACCUUCAUUUUUCGCGCUGGAAAGGUAUUUGGCAAAAAGGUUGUUUAUUCAAAUGCAUUCCAAGUAACUAAACUUCAAGAUAGCUAGAUUGCCGCAGUCGUCACCAUGGGUCCUUCCUUUGUUUGGCUUCACCACCAAUCUAUACUGCACUUUUAUGAGCCAAUAUACAUUUAGCAUUUGGUUUAUCCGUUUGAUGACUUUUAUCUCCUUUAUCUUUUGGAGCUCAUUGUAGGUUUUAGACCGCAACCUGUACCGAAUGACUAUUUGUUGAAUUGUAUUCCCAUUUUCGUGUGAAAAUAUUGAAUUCUAUUUUCUAA